rnacentral:misc_RNA from 1 species
AACCUUAUGGACCUGCGGGCGUAUACCUGCGGAGGGAUCAUUAUAGAGUUUUCUAAACUCCCAAACCCAUGUGAACUUACCAUUGUUGCCUCGGCAGAACCUACCCGGUACCUACCCUGGAACGAGCUACCCUGUAGCUACCCAGGAACGGGCUACCCUGUAACGUCCUGCCGGUGGACUUCUAAACUCUUGUUAUUUAUAGUAAUCUGAGCGUCUUAUUUUAAUAAGUCAAAACUUUUA